AUGUAAUGUAUAUAUAGGUUGAGGAAUGAUUUCAUGGUUCAUGCAUUGUUGCUACAUGAGCACUAACUCGUUCUAGGACUAACGUGUUCUUUAUUAAAUAAAAUGGAUGAAAAUUUAUCUCAUGUAUUUAAUGAUCAUCAGACUAAUGAAGAUGAUUCAACAAACAAUAUGAAUGAGAAUUUAUUUGAUGUAGCCAAUUUAAUGAAUCAAUUUCUUUGUUGCUCACCCAUAGAUAAAAUGGAUAUAUUUCACCCUGAAGAAAGUAUUAAUUGUUUUCCUAUAAGUGAUAACCAAAAGGAAAUUCUGGACAAUACGAUAGGUAAUGAUUUAAUAAAAAAGUACCCUGUGAAACGGUCAUAUCAGAGAGCAUUCUUAAAAUUGCUUAUGAACAAGAUUGAAGAAGAAGGUGGUGAAAUUCACGAUGACUUGUACAAUGCAUAUUGUAAUUUAAUAUCUUCUCCAAUAAGCGAUGUAAUUCAUUAUCGACAUUUUCUGAUGAAAGAUGAUGAUGUAUCUGAUUACAUAACUAUACAAGAAAGUACAAAUAUCAUAUCACAAGGUACAACAGGAUUAUGUUGUUGGCAGGGAGCAUUUGAACUAAGUAAAUGGUGCAUGGAGAACAAAAAUGAAUUUCACAAUAAAGUUGUUUUAGAAUUCGGUUGUGGAGUUGGAUUAACAGGACUGUGCAUAAUUAAAAACUGCUCUCCCAAUCGAUACAUUUUCACGGAUUUUCACAAAUCUGUUUUAGAAAUGGCUUGCAAUAAUGUUAAGCUUAAUUUAUUAAACAAUCAAGAGGCCGUGCAUGUGAACAAGCGGGUAGAAAAUGAUAGAGUAAAAUUUCAAAUGGAAUAUGAAGAUACAAAUGUUGAAGUAAUGGAAUUAAACUGGGAACACACGAAUGAGUAUUUGAAUGAAGGCAGGAUUGUGCCAGAUGUAAUAAUCGGAGCUGAUAUUGUAUAUGAACCUCUUUCUUUUAAUGCUCUAGUGUUGGCACUAAAGACUUUUUUAUCCUUUAGCAAUAGAUAUGCCAUUAUUUCAGGAACAAUUCGUAAUGCAGACACUUUCUCUCUGUUCUUGAAUUUCUUAGGAAUACACGGUCUGUUUUAUGAAGAAUGCAGUACACUGGAACAAACGAUACUCAUACAAGUAACAAAUACACCUGUUAAAGUGCUAAGAAUUUCUCAGAAACGGGAAUGACAAUUAGCAGUGUAAUAUAUUACGGUAAUACAAUAAAUAAUAAAAUAAUAAUAAUAAAAUAAUAAUAAUAAAAAAUAAUAAUAAUAAUAAAAUAAUAAUAAUAAUAAAAUAAUAAUAAUAAUAAUAAUAAAUAUUCAACAGAGAUACAAGAAGCAAUCAUAAUUUCCCAAGUAACUUCAUUAAACAUAUAUUUUUACUGUCCUGUGUCCAUCCGAUUUAAUUAUAAUUUUAUUUGCAGUAACUUGCAUUGAGCACACAUUCUUUUUUCAAUAUUAUGUUAUAAUACAUUCGGUAUACAUCGUACAAAUGAAUAAUUUUCCAGUGUUUAAAUAAAGAAGAGAAAAUAAUUCGUGCAAGAGACUUAUGCCGUACUUCCGCUUCUCUUAUUGAUCCGUAAAAGUUUCAUUAUUUGGAAUUAAAUAUCAAUUGCUUUGGUCUAGUCUGGAAGGUUUCAGCUGUAACCUUUGUAUAACAUAUUCCGGCAUACAAAACGUAGGAUUGAUCCUUUUAAGAGGAUAAUCAGCAUUUAAGAGGGACAGCGCGGUUAAUCCGAAUAAGGUAUACCACGUGGAAAAUCUAAGAGAAUACGUACCAACUGUUCUUUAUUGACCCAAUGAAGUCGUCCAAGGAUCGUGAGCGAUGAAAGUACCCACCAGGAGUAACAAACAUCGGGUAAUUUCUGUGGUCUACCAUUUAAUCCUCCAGACUGGAGUUGUCUCUCGCAAAGCCACCAACUUAAUUGAUCUGCGUCCACUAAAUUAAGGCAACCUACAAGAAUUAUUUGACAUGGUUGAGAAGACAGUAGGAGCUGCUAGACAAGAAUGUAAUUAUAGUACUGUUCGUUAUUGGAACUUGCAAAAAAGAAGAAAGAAUUACCAGUUAUUGACAAAAGACCCACACUGCAGUAAAUCAUGCCAGCAUGACUUUCACCUCCUGGCUUUGAUCCAAAGCCACCAUCAAAGUUCUUACACUUCAUCACGUAUUUAACAGCCAUAUCAACGUCUAUAGCAUCCAAUUGAUUCUAAAACAAAAUUGUCCUGUUUUAUUUCACAUUUAUAUAUAAUUAAUUUUUACUUUGGCAUGAUACUAACCAAAAGUGCCAAAGUUGCCACAGCACAGAAAGAGAAUCUGAUAUCAACAUCACCCCAGAUAUCACCUGUGAAACUUCCAUCCGGCUGUUGUCUUUCUUUCACAUAUUUCACAACUUUCCCCACGUCAAUGACAUCGAGAGCAUCAUAGAUGCACAAUAUUUGUACUGCACUUAAGGUAUGGAGAAUGUGUGGAUCAUGCUGCAAACAUGCUGAUAUGCCUCCACUUUCUGUUUGACAUUGAGCUAUGAACUCUAGAACUUCACUCCGAUUAGUUUGAUCAAGUUUCCCCAUAAGAUCUAAUGCUGUUAAUCCCCAGUACAUGCCAGACAUUCGUAAAUGUUCUGUUAUACAAUAUUUCUGAAAUACAGACAUAUCUUUAUUUUGGUAGUUACUUUCUGUACGAGUAAUUUUAAUCAGCUACGUUUUACAUGACUACUUACAUAUUCAUCCUUAUCCUUGUCGUAUGCGAGUAAAAAGUUUGCAUGUUUAUCCAACAGCAAAUCAGGAACCGGUGAUGGAAGUUCAAUGUCAUGUUCUAACAUUGGCUAGAAAAUAUUAUACACACAUUUUAAUUUUAAUAAUGCU